UCUGUGUUUUUUCAUUGGGUUAGUUUUGGGGACCAGAUUUUUAAAGGAUAAAGUUAACUAAUAAUUAGUGCUGCAUGUUCCACAAACAUAAGGAUUAGAGAAGGAAUUUAUAUCUACAUGAAAGAGGUUAAUAUCUGCAUUAGACUAACACAAGAUCAAAGAAGCAGCAGCCAACGAGUCCUACGUGACAAGUUUCCUAUUAAGAGAAGGUCUGGAAUGCUGACACUGUUCUGCUUCUGUAGCAUGAUGAGAGAUUUUAGGAUUUUAAAAGGGCAGACCUAAUGCAGAAUCGGGUUGCCUGUUAGCAACUUGCUGAUUCGUGCAGGUUGCACUAUGCUCCUUGAGCUGGGCUCCUUCAAGUUAUUUUCAUGUAAAGCCCUUUGCAAUCAAAGUUUUAUGCUUUGUCUAUUUUUAAGUCUAUAUAUGCUGUUGUAGUGAUAGUCAGGCUUGAGGGAGGACUAGGCCUCAGUUGGAGUAACUGCUUGAAAGGUGGGCCUCUCCAAAUAAGGAAGAAAGCCCGGGAGAAUCAAAUCCCUGCGGCCCAGUCCAGAGUGAGGGGCAGGGUUUACUGGACCACAGCUUAUAGAAGAGCAGGGGAGUGGGGUAUUAGUGUCCAGUUCUUCCCUGGAGGCCUCGGAGUGAGGUCUGAUCAGCAACUACUGUGAGGAAAGGGGAGACUAGCUGCCUUGGACUGGGAAUCAACUGGGAGCUCCUUACCUGGAACAGGCAGCUCCCCCACUCCCAGUUCCUUGGGGAAAUUCGCAGUGAAGGAGAAAGAUAAGCAGAGACCAACAACACAAAAAGUUAUUUUUUUAGCUUGAGAUUCUCAGAGCCAAAGAGAACAUACAUUCCAAGCUUCCAUUUAACAGAGGCUGCAGGGUGAUUUUCUCCGCUGUACUGGGAGGAAGGGGUGUGCAAGAAUAGAAAGUCUGCAAUAAUACUGCCCAAGCUGGAGAAGCAUAUCGGGAAUUUAAACAUAUAGGUAAAUUAUUUAAAGAACUGUACUGGUGGAGUACUAAAGUGCAGAACUAAUAGCAGAUACAACAAGUCAUGGUUGUAAGCUCUACAUUUUGCUGUGGAAGCAUCAGAUAACCACAUUGAACUAUAAUUUCCUCUUUUGGCUAUUAUGAAGGUAACGGUCAGUUUUAUGGGUUGCCUGCAAAGGGGAAGAUUCUUCUCUGUCUUACCAUAUACCUUGCGCUUCAAACACUGCACCUUCAACCAACCUCAGCUCUUGGGCGUGGGAGUGAGACCCAGGCAAAGCCAGCAUGAUAUCAGUGUGGCUUCCUGCAGCUUGAGUAGUAGUUGAGGGUUGCAUACUCCAUCAGAGCAGCAAAGACAAAUAAAAAGCACACGGUCACAAACAGAUCCAUGGCAGUGACAUAGGAAACACGAGGAACAGGCUUGCAAGUGGCAUGGAGGGUUCCAAGUUUCGGAGGAACAGCUGAACAUCUGAUGCAAGAACGUGCUGUGACUGAAGCUCCACCCAUAGAAGGUGCCUCCACCUGAUUGUGACUGAUUCCUUCCUUCCCCUGCAGUUCUACAUGUUCCCACUACCUUCCCCUGACCCAAGGGGGAGGGGCUUUUCAGGGAUUGCAAGGGGCUCCGAUGGGAAGGGAAGAGGAUGGGGAAUUCUGCUUGUGAAAUUUUCCUUCCACUCAUGCAAGUCAGGCUAGCAUCCUUUAUUUUUGUGAGCUUGAAUAUGGAUGGCAUGUUGUAUUUGGGUUUUGGGGUGGGGUUGAACGAAUUCUCUAUAUAAAAGGUGCUUUUUUUUUUGUUUGGCUUGCUCCCUCUCAAAGUCGGAUCUGUCUCUUACUGUGUAUAUUUCCACCUCUGAAUUAUCCAUAUCUUGACGGUGUCAUAUGGUGUUCAAAGAAAGCUGCACACUACACACAGAAAGGGCUAAUAUUCAGAGAUAGCGUUUGGAAACAGUGCUAACCCAUGAGAGGCCUAUCCUUGAAAUAUAUUUUAGUAACCUAUUUGAGCUGUUCCUAAGCAUCAUAUUCCAAAAAUCUUUAUAUUGAAUUUGCCUCUCUGGUUGUUUAUGUAACUUGGAAUGAUUCCAGGGAAGUAAUGACAGAACUUAAGGCAAUUGCUGAGCUGCAUUGCCAUAAACAAUCCACAUACCAUAUUAUAAGUAAUUGGAUGCCAGAUGUGUAAAGCCCAAGGCUGGGAUGGGAGACAUUUCCUGAGAAUUGGCUUCUUUUGAAAAUUCUCAGAUGUUUCUCCUUGAGAGAAACCCAGACAUUUAUUUCACAUGUCACUUUUUUGAAAUUUCAGUGCCAAUCUGAGUGUGAAGUGCCAUUUAUGCCGGGAUCCUGGUGAAAAGGUUAAGAGGCCUGUGAUGAAGCCCAUCCAGAAAAGGGAUAAAAGAUGGAGCAAACUCAUUUGAUCAGGCCAAGCCAUAUCUCACAGGGUAUUUGCCUGGAGCAAGGUUUUAAUUAAGAUUGCACAGAAAUUUAGUGAAUGAUUGGUGAGUAGGGAAUGUCCAAGUGGCUCCAUAAAUCACUUUUGAGAUGCUUGAUAUAUACAGACUUGCAGGAGUGGCCAGUGAGGCUUGGGAUGGAGCGGGGAGUGGAGCAGGCAGGAGCAGAACUAGCUGCAACUGAAUCUCUCUCUUUCUCUCUCUCUCUUUUCCUGGCCCACUGUGUCUGCCUCUUCCUCACUCUCUUCUCAACCUGGCUUUAAAUUGAGCCAUGCAGGGUGAUCAUUCAUUGGGUGAACCAACCCCUUUCCCAUUACCUGGCUGCCUGGCAAAUGACCAGCUUGCACAGUGCAAAAAGAGAGAGGAAGAGGCAACUGCAGCAAGGUGAGAAGAGCGGGGUGGGGGCACAGCAGUGGCUGGUUCUGCACCUGCCUGCCCUGUUUUCCCCACAUCAGCCUCGCUGGCCAUGCCUGCAUGGGAGCUUUCCACAAGCAGCAAAUAGCCCAGCAAUCUUACUGGCCUGAAAAAGCAGGGAAAUAAGUGCAGGAAAGAAUUCAAUUCCAUUUGUGUGUGUGGGUGUGUGGCUGGACGUUGACCAGGAAUGUGUCCAUGACUGCAGAACACCAGCUGUAUGAUCCACAUGAAAUUGAUCAUCAAAAAAAUUGUUCAUUGCAAAUUAGAAGGAAUGUUGAUAUUACACAAUAACCUAGGCAGGAUUCACAUACAUCAUACAGAAAUUUUCUGAGAGCUUACCUAGGGCUGUU